rnacentral:sRNA from 1 species
UCCACUUAUGACUUAAGAACUUGUGAAGCAGAAAGUGGCAACACCCCC